rnacentral:rRNA from 1 species
GAGUUUGAUCCUGGCUCAGAACGAACGCUGGCGGCGUGCUUAACACAUGCAAGUCAGGGAGAAAGUCUCUUCGGGGAUGAUUAAACCGGCGCACGGGUGAGUAACACGUGAGUGACCUGCCUUUUAGACUGGAACAACUUACCGAAAGGUGAGCUAAUGCCGGAUGAGUUAUAUAAGUGCAUGUUUAUAUAGGAAAAGUUGGGGAGACCUGACGCUGAAAGAUGGACUCGCGUCCCAUUAGCUAGUUGGUAGGGUAAUGGCCUACCAAGGCGACGAUGGGUAGCCGGCCUGAGAGGGUGGCCGGCCACACUGGGACUGAGACACGGCCCAGACUCCUACGGGAGGCAGCAGUGGGGAAUUUUGCGCAAUGCUCGUAAGAGUGACGCAGCGACGCCGCGUGAAUGACGAAGGCCUUCGGGUCGUAAAGUUCUUUCGACAGGGAAGAAAAUGCCUAUAAGUAACUGUGCAUGUAUUGACGGUACCUGUAUAAGCAGCCCCGGCUAACUCCGUGCCAGCAGCCGCGGUAAUACGGAGGGGGCGAGCGUUGUUCGGAGUGACUGGGCGUAAAGAGCACGUAGGCGGUGUUGUAAGUCA